rnacentral:rRNA from 1 species
GACGAACGCUGGCGGCGUGCUUAACACAUGCAAGUCGAACGGUGAAGCCCUUCGGGUGGAUCAGUGGCGAACGGGUGAGUAACACGUGAGCAACCUGCCCUUGGCUCUGGGAUAACUCCGGGAAACCGGAGCUAAUACUGGAUACGACACGCGGAGGCAUCUUCUGUGUGUGGAAAGAUUUAUCGGCCAGGGAUGGGCUCGCGGCCUAUCAGCUUGUUGGUGGGGUAACGGCCCACCAAGGCUUCGACGGGUAGCCGGCCUGAGAGGGUGACCGGCCACACUGGGACUGAGACACGGCCCAGACUCCUACGGGAGGCAGCAGUGGGGAAUAUUGGACAAUGGGCGAAAGCCUGAUCCAGCAACGCCGCGUGAGGAUGA